AUUGAACGCUGGCGGCAGGCCUAACACAUGCAAGUCGAACGAGUGGCGGACGGGUGAGUAAUGUCUGGGAAACUGCCCGAUGGAGGGGGCUAACUACUGGAAACGUUAGCUAAUACCGCAUACCAUCGGAUGUGCCCAGAUGGGAUUAGCUAGUAGGUGGGGUAACGGCUCACCUAGGCGACGAUCCCUAGCUGGCCUGAGAGGAUGACCAGCCACACUGGAACUGAGACACGGUCCAGACUCCUACGGGAGGCAGCAGUAGGGAAUAUUGCACAAUGGGCGAAAGCCUGAUGCAGCCAUGCCGCGUGUAUGAAGAAGGCCUUCGGGUUGUAAAGUACUUUCAGCGAGGAGGCGUUACUCGAAGAAGAAGCACCGGCUAACUACGUGCCAGCAGCCGCGGUAAUUC
rnacentral:rRNA from 1 species